CACGGGGGGAGCAAGCGUUGUUCGGAAUUACUGGGCGUAAAGGGCGUGUAGGCGGUCAAGUAAGUGGAAUGUGAAACGCCUCGGCUUACCCGAGGACCUGCAUCCCAAACUGCUUGGCUUGAGUAUGGGAGAGGAUGAGGGAAUUCCUGGUGUAGCGGUGAAAUGCGUAGAUAUCAGGAGGAACACCGGUGGCGAAAGCAGCUUUCUGGGACGGUACUGACGCUGAGACGCGAAAGCGUGGGGAGCGAACAGG
rnacentral:rRNA from 1 species